rnacentral:rRNA from 1 species
UAGGGAAUCUUCGGCAAUGGACGAAAGUCUGACCGAGCAACGCCGCGUGAGUGAAGAAGGUUUUCGGAUCGUAAAACUCUGUUGUUAGAGAAGAACAAGGACGUUAGUAACUGAACGUCCCCUGACGGUAUCUAACCAGAAAGCCACGGCUAACUACGUGCCAGCAGCCGCGGUAAUACGUAGGUGGCAAGCGUUGUCCGGAUUUAUUUGGCGUAAAGCGAGCGCAGGCGGUUUCUUAAGUCUGAUGUGAAAGCCCCCGGCUCAACCGGGGAGGGUCAUUGGAAACUGGGAGACUUGAGUGCAGAAGAGGAGAGUGGAAUUCCAUGUGUAGCGGUGAAAUGCGUAGAUAUAUGGAGGAACACCAGUGGCGAAGGCGGCUCUCUGUUCUGUAACUGACGCUGAGGCUCGAAAGCGUGGGGAGCAAACAGG